rnacentral:lncRNA from 1 species
UUUUUUUUUUUUUUUUUUAGCAGAAUGUCUGCUUCCUCUGAGAAGGAAAGGAGAGAAGGAGAGAAAAGCUUGAGUGGACACAGAAAUGUUGAGAAACUAGAAGAGUCCUGCUACUCUGUUCUGUUUUCUCUGUGAAUUCCAAAGCAGAGUCAACUUCUGUGAAUCAAAGGAUAGGAGCAGGCUAGGGAAUUUGAGAAGAAUUAUCGGAGCCUAGAAUAAUAACGCACAGAAGAGAGACUGAUGAAAAGCUUAAAGGAUUUCCAGGAAGAUUUAAGUACCCAACUGAAGCUAGAAACUAUAAAUCUGUUCUGGCCCAUCCUUCCACAGCUAUGUGAUUUCCUUUAGCGGUGGUCGGUUGUCCAAACAUAGUUAAACAGAUAAUCCAGGUUGACGACUAGGUUUCAACGUGCAAGCAGUGAGAAACAGAGGGAGACAAAGCUGCUGAGGCUAUUGGAGAAAGGAGAUGAAAAUGAGGUGCACAGUUUCAGGAUAAAAUGCAGAAGAAAAUGAGGCUGGGAUAGAGAAAUAGAAAACUAAUGGAAAACUAAAAAAUCAAGGAUAUGAAAGUUACCUUGAAAUUAAUGUAUGGGUAGAGUGAAAAAAAAGGAGCUGGAGAUUGGAAAGGCAUAUUCGGCAAGCGGGCUGGGGCAGCCUACUACUGCAUACUACAGCUAUCAUUUUAUUUUGUACCAUUAUCUUCCACAGCCAUCCCCGGUACUCAAUAAAUGUUUGUCAAAUUAAACUUAUUCUGAUAUAUAUAGAAAAGAAUUUUUGAGAGAUAAACCACAAGGUACUCUACAUUGUAAAAUACUUUCCUCACACAGACAGAGCACAAAGGUCUUAUAUUCAAGCUAGUAAACCAUUCAAAAGCAAUAGCGAGCACUAAGCCUCCAAUUUCAUCCUAAAACUCAGAGGAUCUGAUUCAAAUACCAUGUUUUGGCCACUACGAUUUAAUUUUAAAACUAGAUGAGUCAUCCUGUUCAUGAGAUAUUUUAAGUAAAGAUUGCCCUGCAUGAAGAGACACCCUAUCUAAGCUUAAAACUAAUACGGAGGAAACACAGCAAAUUAUACACAAUCUCUGUUGCUGGCUUUUUUCCACAGAAAAGUAGAUUAGUUACCAGAAUUUGACUUCACUCAGCUGAAGAAAUUGAUCCUGGGGAUGCAUAUGUUGACAAUCAUUUGUAACCAUAUCUACCUUUCUCGUUUUAGAGGAAGAAAGUCCUUAGAGAUCACUUAAUCCAAGCACUUCAUUAUGCAGCAUGAAGAGAAAGGUUAAGUGAUGUAUCCAAGGUCAUACAGGAAGUAAGCAGCUACACUGUAACCAGGACCAAAUUCCUCCACUACAGUGAAAAUUGCUGGAAUAUUAAAGAAGCUCUCUAGUUUAUUUAUGUAAAGUAUGUAUAUCAGUGAAAUUGAAUAAAAUGGCCAUCAUUUCAAUAGAAGCGAUUGCUUUCCAUCUACCCCCUUAUUAGAACACUGUGGGCUAAAAUCCUACCUAUGAAUCUUCUUUUUUGUUGUAGAUGAGCAAAAGGUUCAAACAGAUGAUAACACCCACACCCACAUACAUUCACAGAUUGAGGGGGAUGGAUAACAGGAAGAUCUAUGAAAACAUAAUUCACAAAUGGAAGUUUCUCUCCCUGGAUAAUUAGAAAUAGGUUUUAUUUGCUUACCUUUUGUUUUUGUUUUUGUUUUCUUGUAAUCCCUGAUGUGUUUGACUAAAAUGGUAAUUAGCUAUAUUUUCCAUUUUGGUUGAAGCACAUUGUAGAUCAUGUGUAGUGUAGUUCUGGUCUCAAGGGGGAAAUGGAUAAUCAGGAGAAUAUUUUUCAAUGUCUCCUCUCUGUAAAGAUUUACUGAGUUGUCUCUAAUGUACACUGACAGCUUCUGCAUUAAAAUUAAAGGAAAGUAGACAUCGAUAUUGUCAAGCAAAAGAAAAAAAAAACCUCUACCCUUUCAUUUUCAUUCUACUAAAAUAAAUCAGGUCUGUAUCUUUUAAUAUUUUAUUAGAAUUGUUCAUUUCUGAAGGUCAAGAGCAAAAGGACUUUUCAAAGUUUAAAAAAGAUUCAAAAAAAGGUGGCAGUUAAUUGAUAGUCCCCAGACACCAACAAAAGUCUGGACUAGAAGCCUAAAAGCUUUAUUAAUUUCCUUGUUCAAGUUACUGGUGUUAUUUGACUAUGCAACUUAACUUC